AUACUGUCAAGUAUUCGAAUAGCCGAGCGUGCUGUCCUCUGACAGCUCUUGUUUGUGUAGAGGUCUAUUGAAAACUGAUAAAAUUCCGGGAUUUUUUAGAUUUUCCGGUUCCUACAGGACCCCAUACAAUCACACAUCUGUACACAUCUGAACAACAACAGGCUCUCUGGCCAGUUGGGCCCCCACAUCCAAAAACAAUUCCUGGGUAUAGGCGUCGAGCUUUUGGGUCAGGAAUUUUGGGCAAAGCUCAUACCCCUAGGGUACAGCCAGUCUAACCAUGGGACUCCAAACUUCCCUGCUCAGGGGCCAAGACUACCUCAUCUACAAGGGACCUUAUGCUCACAAGUUCAGUCCCAGAGAACCAUGUUACCCAACUGCGACACAGGCAAUACAUCUCAACAGGUUGAGGAUCACCCAAAACCACUCGGUGCCAAGCAAUGAAAUUAUCAGCUGCCACCUUGACCUGACUAUUGUACACACCUGGGAGUCAGGUUUAAGGUCACAUCAGCUUAAAUGUUCACGGCAGUAAGAAAAUGUAAGAUCUUAAAGGGACUUGUUCACAAAUUGUGUGGUUAACAAGAUGACUGAACAACAUGGCAUCAAUGGCAGGGAAGAAGUGAUCAGGGGGGGGUAAUCACGUGCAAGUCAAGAUGGCGACGUCCAUGCCAAGACUGAAAACCCUGAUUGCAAAGCGUAGAGUCUGCUCGGGAAGCAUUUGCACACAAGGCACAAACAUCAGCUGCAAUAAUCGUCUCGAUAUUCUGUCAUCGCCAUGUUGCAUGACCCUCAGUCUAUGAACAUAGAGAACCUUGGACACCCAUGGAAGAAAGAAAACUGGCCAAUCAGAAUUACAGCCUGUUGCAGCAGUUGUUACCAUAUUUUCCUCAGUCAAACCUGAGAAGCUCAGAGAUAUAUACUGUUUAAGAUGUGCUAGACUCUACAUACCUCCUGGUAUGUUCAGCACUUACUCUGACAGGUUUUAUCUUUGAAUUUUGUGACGAAUGGAAAAUAAAUGAGCUUGUUCACAUCGAAAUGGCAGAAUGACAUAUCACAACAAUUGAAGUGGAAAGCCAGAAAGUCAUGUGGACAGCCACGUUUUGUAUGUGACCAUCCAAGUUGUAUUCAAAGGAAAACACAAGUAUAUGUUUUAUGGGAAUUAUGAUACUGUCAGUCAUUUUAUGUUAAAAGUUUUGGUGAAAUAUAGUAUGUACAUUAUUAUCAUAAGCACACAUAUAACAAGUCUAUCCAAUGUCUUUGUCUGUAUUAUGAAACUUUCACUACAGACUUUGAUCCUGAUAAUGAUAACAUUUUAUUUUAAGAUUGUCAAAGCUGUUUAAAUGAUGGUGGUAAAUUGGAUAAAAUUGAGAAAAUAUUUAAGUAUUUUCCUGUAAUGAAACAUGUUCAUGUUUUCUGUUUUUACCAGUAAUAUAGAUGUGCUACUUAAACAAAUUCUUCAGAAAGGCUGAGAGUUAUGAAAUAUCGGAAUUGUCUGUCUAUCAAUCUUUCUGAAACAAUAUAAGUCGAUUGGCUCACCCGGGUCAGUAUUCGAUCAAGAAUCUUGUUUAGUAGCAUAAUAUUUCAUGGGAAUACAUGUAUAAAUAAAUUCUGGGAAAAAUCAUUUAAUCUACCUAACAUUAUUGAUUCCGUAUUUACUACCAGUACUUGGUUGAUUUCAAUGGCUGCAGUUUGUUAAAUGAUUAGAGUAUGACUCUUGUGUUAUUGGGAAAGCUUUUUAUGUAAAUGAGAAUUAAACAAAUAUGAAAGUAUUUUAUGAAAAAUGGCAAAAGUUAUGAUUGUUAAAUUGUGUUGUUAUAUCAUAGACUUACAUGCUGGUAAGUUUUCAAGUUUGUUUUUGGACAUAACAGUUUAUUAUGCCAUAUAUUUGUAUAUGCGCAUUGAGACAACCCUCUUAAAUCAGUGAGUACAUCUGUAUCUUAACCAAGAUUUCUGAUCACUGUAUAUAGGUAUAUUUUGCCAUGUAUACUGCGAAGCAAUUGUAUGUUCAGUAUAAACUGUUUAUUUAAUGUUGCCAUUUUUAUAAGAUAAACUCACUGUUUACAUUUAUUUGUACAAACAAUUGUUCUAAAACAACAUUUCUUGUGUAAAUGCUCAUAUACAUAUUAAACUGUUUAAAUAAUGCAGCAUGACAUAUUUUGAAGAGAAAAAGAUAGUUAAGGCAAUAUAAACACCUUGUUAUAUGCAAUGUUUUUCAUUGAAUGAAUUUUAGCAACUAUUUAAAAUGUAUUUUUUUUUACAUAAACUAAAGAAAAAAUAAUACCUUGAAAUUUGAAAUCAGUCAAUUAAAAUUAAGGGAGAGUGAUGUCAUAUGCUAACAAUUGCCAAGAAUUGCAAUGGCCUCUAUUGGCAAUAUAAGCGAGUACUAUUAUUUGCAAAAGAUAUCUAUUUUGUUAGAUAAUAACUGUGUUUUACAACUCGACAUAACAAGUAAAUACAUUUCUAAUUGUUUCGCACUAUAUACUCGGCUAUAGGUGAAUGUCUAAAAGGAUUUUGUGGAAUAAACACUUUAGAAAAUAUAUGCUUGUUUCAGGAAGUAAUAGUUUAGGUAAAAUGUGAUACUUAUUGUUCCAUAAACACCAAGUGUAAUAACAAAAUGCAUCAGUAAUGACAUUAUUUGAAAAAUUACAUUUGCAUGAUCACACAAUGUGUAAAGUUGUGUAAAUGUGACGCUUAUGACUUGUGUAUAUUUCAACAAUAAUAUUAUACUUGUAUUUAAAGUACUUGAUAAGUAUUGACGUAGAUCUAUUGCUAUUAGAGAAUUGUAUCAUUUAACUAGUUUUGUUACAGUUUGUGUAACCUUGACCAGUCAACAUAGCUGUCAGUGGAGUGAAUUCACUGGGGUUCAAUUUCCGUAAUUCUCCUAGUUUAAAACUUCAGCAUACACGUUUGUCUUAAAUCCAGAUUUCCCUAAAAUUGUGGUUGUUUAUAUUGAACUUUUAUUGAAUGCAUGUGACAUGUUUGUUCUUUUGUUGAACGACUGAAAAUAACUUUAUAUGUAUAAAUUGUGUGUCAUGUUUAGAUAUUGUCAUGUUUAGAUAAAUCAAAUUGAUAAAUAGAAAACAAAAUACAAAAUUUGCAAUAAUUUGUAUGCAUGCUUAGCCCCCAAAAAUGUUAUCAUACAAGCUUAUUGGUAUUGGACUAUGUUUGUACUUUAAGAUGAAAUGUUUCAAUCAUGUGUGAUUUUUAUCAUUUACGUUAAAUAAACAUUUUCCAUUAGUAGAUAUAGGGUGUAUAAACUCUUAUGUAGACUUCUUUUUAAUUGCUUUUGUAAAUAUCUUCAAUAUUUGACAUAACUGUUAAGGGUAUUUUUAGUUCGUUUGUUUUCGGAAAAAAAAGGAGGUAUUGUCAUAGCCAGCUCGUUGUGUCGUCCGACGUCGGCGUCGUGCUAAAACCUUUAAAUUUGAUCUAAAAUUAAAGUGCUUCCACCUAAAACUUUGAAACUUCAUAUGUGGAUGCACAUUGAUGAGUUCUACACGCCACACCUAUUUAUCGGUCACUAGGUCAAAGGUCAAGGUUGCAGUGACCUCUUAAAAAAACUAAUUCGUACAAGCUUUCAUUCAUUCAAAACUGCACCCGCAUCCGAGCGUGGCACCCCUUAUUGGGUGCUCUUGUUAUAGUAAACAUGUACAUGUUUCUCUAAACUGUAAACGGGUGUCUGUUUAAGUUAUUGUGAUUUGUUAAUUUUGUAUUGCUAAUUAAAUGAAAUAUUGUGUAUAGUCUCGCAUUGUUGUUGUUAUAAGACAAAGCACAUUCCAUUACUCAUGUUUAUUUUCAUGUUUAUUUUCGUCCACUAUUUCUAUAACCAGUGUU